rnacentral:rRNA from 1 species
GACGAACGCUGGCGGCGUGCUUAACACAUGCAAGUCGAACGGAAAGGCCCUGCUGGUGUGGGGUGCUCGAGUGGCGAACGGGUGAGUAACAAGUGAGUAACCUGCCCUUGACUUUGGGAUAACUUCAGGAAACGGGGGUUAAUACCGGAUAGGAGCUCCUGCUGCAGGGGGGGGGUUGGAAAGUUUCGGCGGUUGGGGAUGGACGCGCGGCUUAUCAGCUUGUUGGUGGGGUAGUGGCUUACCAAGGCUUUGACGGGUAGCCGGCCUGAGAGGGUGACCGGCCACAUUGGGACUGAGAUACGGCCCAGACUCCUACGGGAGGCAGCAGUGGGAAUUAUUGCACAAUGGGCGGAAGCCUGAUGCAGCAACGCCGCGUGCGGGAUGACGGCCUUCGGGUUUUAACCCGCUUUCGCCUGUGACGAAGCGUGAGUGACGGUAAUGGGUAAAGAAGCACCGGCUAACUACGUG